UUCCCAGAGCCUUGAGCUCUUUGAAGGGUCGUUCGAGACCAGGACGUUGAUAGGUCAGGUGUGGAAGUGCAGUAAUGCAUUAAGCUAACUGAUACUAAUUGCCCGUACGGCUUGUCCCUAUAACCUUAGCAGGUUAUA
rnacentral:rRNA from 6 species